UACGUAGGGUGCAAGCGUUAAUCGGAAUUACUGGGCGUAAAGCGUGCGCAGGCGGUUUUGUAAGUUUGUCGUGAAAGCCCCGGGCUCAACCUGGGAAUUGCAUUUGAGACUGCGUAGCUAGGGUGCGGAAGAGGGAAGCGGAAUUUCCGGUGUAGCGGUGAAAUGACGUAGAUAUCGGAAGGAACACCAGUGGCGAAAGCGGCUUCCUGGUCCAGCACCGACGUCAGGCACGAAAGCGUGGGGAGCAAACAGG
rnacentral:rRNA from 1 species